AUGAUCGUGCGCACCUACGGCCGCAGAUCCCGCACCUUCUCCGACGGCGCCGCCGGCGCCGCCGCCGGCGGAGGCGGAGGGGACCGCGGGCUCUCGUCCUCGCAGGACGCGUUCGACUUCGACGGCGGGGAUGGGGACGACGAGCUCGCGGCGCUGGGCUCGUCCGCGUCGCAGCCCUUCCCGCCGUCGCAGGAGUCCUCCUCGAUGUGGGACUUCGACGAGGACCCGCCCACGCAGCCGCCGCCGCCCCGGCUAGAGGGGCCGCGCCGGAAGGGGCGACGCGGGAGGCACGCCGAGCCCGAGCCCGAGGCGGCCACCGCCACGCUCAUGGAGGCCGAGGAGUACGGGGAGAUGAUGGAGAGCGUCGACGAGGUCAAUUUCGCGCUCGACGGGCUGCGCCCCACCGCGCCCAGGCGGGUGCGCCGGGCAAGCCUGCUCGCGCUGCUCGGGAUCUGCGCGUCCGCCGCGCGCCGCCGCGUCCUCCGGGCUCAGGGACUGGUAAAGCAAAUUAUAGAUAAUGUUUUGGCUCUGAACAUUGAUGAUCCUUCCUGUGGUGUUGCGGCGGCAGCUCUUUUAUUUGUUUUGGCAAGUGAUGUACAAGAGAAUCAUGUGCUAAAUUCAGAAUCGUGUAUUCGGUUUCUUCUUAAAUUAUUAAAUCCUCCAAUGGACGCAAAUGAUGUCAAAGCACCAUCUAUAGGUUCCAAACUCCUUGGAAUCAGUAAAGUUCAAAUGUUUAAUGGCUCAAAUAAGGAUUCUGAUUCCAGCUCAGAUGAUAUCAUAUCAAAAGUCGAAGAAAUCCUCUUAAGCUGUAAAGAAAUCAAGCCACUUGACAGGGAUGGCAAGAGAGCAUCAAGGCCAGAAUUAUGUUCAAAAUGGCUUGCUUUGUUGACAAUGGAAAAGGCAUGCUUGUCAGCUGUCGCAUUAGAGGAGACUUCUGACAUGGUGACCAGAGUUGGAGGGGAUUUCAAAGAAACAUUAAGGGCAUUGGGUGGUCUUGAUAAUAUUUUUGAUGUUAUGGUUGAUUGUCAUUCCUCACUGGAGGGAAUUGUAAAGGAUACCUCCACUCUGUCCUUGGACAUAAAGGAAGGAACAUCUUUGCAAAGUGCUGCACUCCUCCUGAAAUGUUUGAAAAUUUUAGAGAAUGCCACAUUCUUAAGUGAUCAGAACAAGACCCAUUUGCUCAGCAUGAGUAGAAAAUUGAGUCCCAGAGGCUCUACAGUUUCUCUUGUUGGUGUCAUUAUCAAUAUUGUUGAAUUAUUAUCAGUACUGUCUCUCCUUCAGAGUUCUUCCACUGUUUCCAGCAGUACAGAUAAAAAAUCUUCCAAAGGUUGUAAAGGGGGCUGCUCUGCAGACAUCAAGGGUGCAACUACAUUGAAUGGUCAUGGCAAGGGCAAGAACUCAAAGAAAAAUAAGCUUUCGCUGAACCAAAAAUGCCAAAAUUGCUCAUCUUCCAAAUUAGAUGCUUCUCAUAUUAGUAUAUCUUCUACUAGUGAUGUUGGCCUAUCACAAAUGGCACUUGAUUGUUCCCAGUCUACUUCAAGCAACAGGGCAUCAAGUGGUUCAUUAGGUGAGAGGCACAGCAAUGGUCUUGGUCUUGGUCUGAAGCUUAAUAUAAGAAAGGAACGUGGUAAAGCCAACCCAAUUAGAGGCUCAAGUGGAUGGGUUUCUAUAACAGCACAUAGUUCUGAUGGAACGUCCAGAGAAAUGGCAAAACGACGACGUCUGUCUGAAAACGGCAACAGUGAUUUGAGAAGUGGCAGUGGUAGUGAUCCUUUUGCAUUUGAUGAUGUUGAUCAGGAGCCUGAACUAUUUGGUCAAAAAAAGAGAUCAACACAUGGCUGUCAAGCAAAAUCAGCGAAUGAGAAAUUGUCGGACGAUCGUGGGAUUGCUGUGAUUGGAAGUCAGGAAUCAUAUCAACCUGAAGAUAAUAAUCAUCAUCUGGGUGCAACAUCCCAUUCUAAUGUUGACGAUGAUUCCAAUCUUUUGGAAGACUGCCUUUUGGCAUCAAUUAAGGUUCUUAUGAACUUAGCAAAUGACAACCCAUCUGGUUGUGAACAUAUUGCAUCAUGUGGUGGACUUAACACAAUGGCCUCCUUGAUCAUCAAGCAUUUCCCUUCAUUUGAUUUCUCCGUGGACACUGGCCGAGAUGUCGAUCUUUUACAAGACCUCACCGAUUCCGAGGACAGCAAAGCAUGCCAAGUGAAAGCUAAGCAACUGCGAGAUCAUGAGCUUGAUUUUCUGGUUGCCAUAUUGGGCUUGCUUGUCAAUCUCGUGGAAAAAGAUAGCCUUAAUAGGGUACGGCUUGCAUCUGCUCGUGUUUCUGUGGAUCUGUCUAAGAAUGCGCAGAGUGAAAAGGCACAGAGGGAUGUUAUACCACUCCUCUGUUCAAUCUUCUUAGCAAGUAAAGGUUCUGGGGAAGCUUCUGCAACUAUAUCACCGGAUGAUGAAGAGUCAAUGUUGCAAGGAGCACGGGAAGCUGAAAUGAUGAUCGUGGAGGCCUAUGCAGCCCUCGUGCUUGGCUUUCUUUCGAUAGAAAGCAUGAAGGUUCGAGGAGCGAUUUCCAGCUGCCUUCCAAAUAACAACUUGAAAGUUCUUGUGCCCGUGCUAGAGAAAUUUGUGGCGUUUCAUCUGCAGCUUAAUAUGAUGACAGACGAAACACACUCAUCUGUUACAGAAGUUAUCGAAAAAUGCAAACUAUGA
rnacentral:rRNA from 1 species